rnacentral:rRNA from 1 species
GACAGAGGGUGCAAACGUUGUUCGGAAUUACUGGGCGUAAAGCGUGCGCAGGCGGUGAUGUAAGACAGGUGUGAAAUCCCGGGGCUCAACCUCGGAACUGCAUUUGUGACUGCAUCGCUGGAGUGCGGCAGAGGGGGAUGGAAUUCCGCGUGUAGCAGUGAAAUGCGUAGAUAUGCGGAGGAACACCGAUGGCGAAGGCAAUCCCCUGGGCCUGCACUGACGCUCAUGCACGAAAGCGUGGGGAGCAAACAGG